rnacentral:rRNA from 1 species
GCUUAACACAUGCAAGUCGAGCGAGAAUCGUUUUGCUGAAGGCUUCGGUCUGACGCAGAAUGAGGAAAGCGGCGAACGGGUGAGUAACGCGUGGGCAACCUGGCCUUAAGAAAAGGAUAGCCCCCGGAAACGGGGAGUAAUACUUUAUGAGAAUGAAAGAGGGCAUCCUACUUUCAUUCAAAGCGCAAGCGCUUAAGGAUGGGCCCGCGUAUCAUUAGCUAGUUGGUGAGAGAACAGCCCACCAAGGCAACGAUGAUUAGCCGGUCUGAGAGGGCGAACGGCCACAAUGGAACUGAGAGAUGGUCCAAACUCCUACGGGAGGCAGCAGUGGGGAAUAUUGCGCAAUGGAGAAGAACUCUGACGCAGCAAUACCGCGUGAGCGAAGAAGGUCUUCGGAUCGUAAAGCUCUGUUAUCAGGGAAGAAGAAAAUGACGGUACCUGAUGAGCAAGUCCCGGCUAACUACGUGCCAGCCGCCGCCGUAA